rnacentral:rRNA from 1 species
CGGUGGAGGCGCUGGUGGGAUACCGCCCUGACUGUAUUGAAAUUCUAACCUACGGGUCUUAUCGACCCGGGAGACAGUGUCAGGUGGGCAGUUUGACUGGGGCGGUCGCCUCCUAAAGUGUAACGGAGGCGCCCAAAGGUUCCCUCAGAAUGGUUGGAAAUCAUUCGUAGAGUGCAAAGGCAUAAGGGAGCUUGACUGCGAGACCUACAAGUCGAGCAGGGACGAAAGUCGGGCUUAGUGAUCCGGUGGUUCCGCAUGGAAGGGCCAUCGCUCAACGGAUAAAAGCUACCCCGGGGAUAACAGGCUUAUCUCCCCCAAGAGUCCACAUCGACGGGGAGGUUUGGCACCUCGAUGUCGGCUCAUCGCAUCCUGGGGCUGUAGUCGGUCCCAAGGGUUGGGCUGUUCGCCCAUUAAAGCGGUACGCGAGCUGGGUUCAGAACGUCGUGAGACAGUUCGGUCCCUAUCCGUCGUGGGCGUAGGAAAUUUGAGAGGAGCUGUCCUUAGUACGAGAGGACCGGGAUGGACGCACCGCUGGUGUACCAGUUGUUCUGCCAAGGGCAUAGCUGGGUAGCUAUGUGCGGAAGGGAUAAGUGCUGAAAGCAUCUAAGCAUGAAGCCCCCCUCAAGAUGAGAUUUCCCAUAGCGUAAGCUAGUAAGAUCCCUGAAAGAUGAUCAGGUUGAUAGGUUCGAGGUGGAAGCAUGGUGACAUGUGGAGCUGACGAAUACUAAUAGAUCGAGGACUUAACCAU